UAUUGCACAAUGGGGGGAACCCUGAUGCAGCGACGCCGCGUGAGUGAAGAAGUAUUUCGGUAUGUAAAGCUCUAUCAGCAGGGAAGAUCAUGACGGUACCUGACUAAGAAGCUCCGGCUAAAUACGUGCCAGCAGCCGCGGUAAUACGUAUGGAGCAAGCGUUAUCCGGAUUUACUGGGUGUAAAGGGAGCGCAGACGGUCAUGCAAGUCUGAUGUGAAAGCCCGGGGCCCAACCCCGGGACUGCAUUGGAAACUGUAAGACUGGAGUGCAGGAGGGGCAGGCGGAAUUCCUAGUGUAGCGGUGAAAUGCGUGGAUAUUAGGAGGAACACCGGUGGCGAAGGCGGCCUGCUGGACUGUAACUGACGUUGAGGCUCGAAAGCGUGGGGAGCAAACAGG
rnacentral:rRNA from 1 species